GUGGUCUUGAACCGUGGCUUCUGGAGCUAACGCGUUAAAUCGACCGCCUGGGGAGUACGGCCGCAAGGUUAAAACUCAAAUGAAUUGACGGGGCCCGCACAAGCGGUGGAGCAUGUGGUUUAAUUCGAUGCAACGCGAAGAACCUUACCUACUCUUGACAUCCAGAGAAUCCUUUAGAGAUAGAGGAGUGCCUUCGGGAACUCUGAGACAGGUGCUGCAUGGCUGUCGUCAGCUCGUGUUGUGAAAUGUUGGGUUAAGUCCCGCAACGAGCGCAACCCUUAUCCUUUGUUGCCAGCGCGUGAUGGCGGGAACUCAAAGGAGACUGCCGGUGAUAAACCGGAGGAAGGUGGGGAUGACGUCAAGUCAUCAUGGCCCUUACGAGUAGGGCUACACACGUGCUACAAUGGCAGAUACAAAGAGAAGCGACCUCGCGAGAGCAAGCGGAACUCAUAAAGUCUGUCGUAGUCCGGAUUGGAGUCUGCAACUCGACUCCAUGAAGUCGGAAUCGCUAGUAAUCGUAGAUCAGAAUGCUACGGUGAAUACGUUCCCGGGCCUUGUACACACCGCCCGUCACACCAUGGGAGUGGGUUGCAAAAGAAGUAGGUAGCUUAACCUUCGGAGGGCGCUUACCACUUUGUGAUUCAUGACUGGGGUGAAGUCGUAACAAGGUAACUGUAGGGGAACCUGCGGUUG
rnacentral:rRNA from 1 species